AUGCCUCUCGGGGAGAGCUCUGGAGUGGACAAACGGCAAAGGGAGACGUGGAGUUGGACCACUUCGAGGAGUUCACCCGUCGCUUCCAGGCCAUCUUCGACCAUCCGCCCAAAGGUAGAGCGGCGGGGGAACGGCUCUUCCAUUUGAGGAAGGGGACGAGGAGCCGCCGGAGCAGGCUGGAACGACUGGGUCCUCACCGACCACUAUCGGUGCAGUCUGCGCGAGGACGUCAGACGUGAGCUGGCCUUCAGGGAUGCCACCAUCUCCUUUGACCAACUGGUGGAUUUGUCCAUCCGGUUGGAUAACCUGCUGGUCAUCCACGGACGUCCAGAGGGGGCUCUGUCAGGGCCAUUUUCCAGCACCCCCACUCCGGUGCCCAUGGAGUUUGGAGGGGCUUCGCGUAGGGAGACUGGAGGAGGAGCCAUCAUGUGCAGUAUCUGUGGCCGCAGAGGGCACAAUGCCGGUCGGUGCCGUGUCGGUUCCUCUGGGAGUCGAGGCAACAGGCAGGGCACUCUGGCGUCACCCCAGGUCUUCCUAUGGUGCUACAGACUGCGGAAGCCCUGUUUACUCAUAUCUUCCGGCACUACGGGGUGCCUGAGGAUAUACUGUCUGAUCGGGGUCCCCAGUUCACGUCGAGAGUGUUGAAGGCGUUCCUGGAACAUCUGGGGUUCUCGGUCAGCCUUACCCCGGGUUUUCACCCCGAGAAUAACAGUCAGGUAGAGAGAGUCAACCAGGAUGUGGGCAGGUUUCUGCGGUCCUAUUGCCAGGACCGGCCGGGGGAGUGGGCGGCAUUCGUCCCCGAGGUCAGGUGUCUGCGUGACGCUGGAGCCGCGCGUCAAGGGGGGGAUACUGUCACGAUUUCCGCCAAUGUCGGCUCCUCUCCUUGUUCGGGCGGCGUUCAGCGAUCGACGUCACCGGCUUUCUAGCCAUCGCCGCUCCAUUUCUCAUAUAUCCAUUUGUUUUGUCUUGUUCCAUACACACCUGGUUCCAAUUCCGUUAUCACUGCAUGUAUU
ensembl:lncRNA